UACGGAGGGUGCAAGCGUUAUCCGGAUUUACUGGGUUUAAAGGGUGCGUAGGUGGGCGAGAAAGUCAGUGGUGAAAUCUCCGGGCUUAACCCGGAAACUGCCAUUGAUACUAUUUGUCUUGAAUACUUUGGAGGUAAGCGGAAUAUGUCAUGUAGCGGUGAAAUGCUUAGAUAUGACAUAGAACGCCAAUUGCGAAGGCAGCUUACUACACAGCAAUUGACACUGAGGCACGAAAGCGUGGGGAGCAAACAGG
rnacentral:rRNA from 1 species